UACGUAGGGGGCAAGCGUUGUCCGGAUUUAUUGGGCGUAAAGAGCGUGUAGGCGGCCAGGUAGGUCUGCUGUGAAAACUCGAGGCUUAACCUCGAGCUGUCGGCGGAAACCAUCUGGCUAGAGUCCGGAAGAGGAGAAUGGAAUUCCCGGUGUAGCGGUGAAAUGCGCAGAUAUCGGGAAGAACACCCGUGGCGAAGGCGGUCUCUGGGACGGUACUGACGCUGAGACGCGAAAGCGUGGGGAGCGAACAGGAUUAGAUACCGAGU
rnacentral:rRNA from 1 species